rfam:Glossina morsitans morsitans, isolate Yale, WGS project CCAG01000000 data, contig: ctg10010272
UCGCAGGCCCCUUUAGGGGCCACUGUUACACUAUUAAGAAUGUAU